GACGAACGCUGGCGGCGUGCUUAACACAUGCAAGUCGAACGGAAAGGCCCCUUUGGGGGUACUCGAGUGGCGAACGGGUGAGUAACACGUGAGUAACCUGCCCUUGACUUCGGGAUAACUUCAGGAAACUGGGGCUAAUACCGGUUAGGAAUCCUUGCUGCAUGGGGGGGGUUGGAAAGCUUCGGGGGCUUUGGGUGGGUUGGCGGCUUAUCGGCUUGUUGGUGGGGUAGUGGGUUACCAAGCCAUGGACGGGACGCGGGCCUGUGGGGGCGAGCGGCCACAUUGAGACUGACAGACGGCCGAGACUCCUACGGGAGGAAGAAGUGGGGAAUCUUGCACAAGGGGCGGAGGCCGGAUGCAGCAGCGCCGCGGGCGGGAUGGCGGCCUUCGGGUUGUAGACCGCUUUCAGCAGGGGCGAAGCUUGUGGUGACGGUACCUGCAGAAGAAGCACCGGCUAACUACGUG
rnacentral:rRNA from 1 species